rnacentral:tRNA from 1 species
AAGAAGACACACCCCGAGCUGCUAACUCACGGACCCUAGAAUUAAAUCCCUAGACUUCUUG